UCCAGGGAAAGAGCAACCCCCCAACUCCUGUGCCCAACCUCUAAGUAUGAAAUCAUGCUGUUCUGAUGCAUCAGCAUGGAUGAAAUCUCAGCAGAGCCUCAUGUGUGGAUGCCAAAGGCAACAGGCCUGAAAUCCACCCACAACCAAACUGGAAGAGUGGCAGGAGAAUGCUAUGAAAGACUCGACACCAAAUGCUACAGUGAUCGUUACAGGCCCAGACCACAUCCUAGCGGCCUUUUAGCCUCACUCAUAAGAUGCUGAGUGAUACAGGUUCUAGACCUGCACUGUCCAAGACAGCAGUCAUGAGCCACACACUGCUCCUGGGCACUUGAAAUGUGAUGGUUAUGAAGUGAGAUGUGCCGCUAAGGAUAAAACACACUGGAUUUUGAAGAGCACACGAAUAGAAGAAAACUAAACGCCACGGUCCCACAUGCGGCACUGUAUUUUGACUCUGUGCUGUUUCCUGGAUAGUCCACCAAGAACAGUUCUCUCCGACCCAGCCUUGGAGUCUGACGAGGUCUGCUCAUUUCCUGGGAUUCUUAUGAUAAAAUUCUGUUCCUUAGUGUCUCUAUCCAGGGACACAGCCUUGUUAUCACCCAGCCUUCAGCCAGGGUCCUGGAGCCAGAAACCCUCUCUGGGAGGGUCUGGGGCAGCCUGGCUGUCUCUAGACAGCAGCAUGCUUGUCGUCUGGGGCUUGAAUGCACAUGGGACCGGUGUGUGAGUGGAGGAUGUCACGGCCUCAAUUCAGCCCAUCUUGGCAGUGUGAGCUCAUUGUACUGGAGGAUUCCUGCUCUUAUUUAGGUCAGUGGCCCCAUUACCCCAGAGUCUGAGAAAGAGUUUCUAUGGAAUUUUGUCUUUACACUCUUUGCUAUCCUUGUCGCAUCUUUGCAGAAAAUGCCACUUUGCAGGUGUUAAACCUGUAAAAAAUAGCUGGAAAACUGGUUUCCAAGAGCUAUAUACUCUGCCAUCCUGAUAAAAUCACCUGAUAAAUUCACUUCGGGAAUUUGUUAACCAUUUUCAAAAGUAAAACAUGUGAAAGUCACAUCAUUUGGGGGAAAAGAGUCACAUCACAUGCUUUCCACCUGCAGCUCAGUUUUCUAAAUCAAAUGAGACAAAUGCCUUCACACUUCCCCACACAGCACUAGAACCCAGAAUCGAAGGGCCACAUUGCCCAUGAAACUUGAACCCCCUUGCAAAACUCAAGAGAGGCCAGAAAUAUUCUGCAGGCCACUCCCUGCCUCCCAUGUGAAAUAUGGGACAUGUCUUCUUCAUUGCAAGAUAAUCAUGGGGCAGUGACUUACAUACGAUAUAGUUUUCAAAGGAGAGCAGUCUUUGGAGUCCAAGACUGUUAAUUUUUUCCCAUUGUUUAUCUCCCAAGAGCACAGAACUGAAUGAUAGAAGCUCACACCAUUACCACCCUGUUCUCGGCUUUAGUUCCUAAUGAAACGUGAUGUCUGUGUGUCAUGUUCAGUUGCCAUCCCUCUCCCCUACCCACCUUGCACUGCCUUGAGGGCCAGGCCACCAGGCACAGCUAACCCUUUCCCUGCUGAGAAUCAGCAUAGUUGAGAGACAGAGAGGUAACCUGUGUAUAAGACCACUGGUGGGAACAGAAAUGAGCUUGAACCACUGUUCCUGGCUCUAUGUACAGCUAACCUAAAAAGCUGAGCGCCGAAAAAUUGAUGCUUUUGAACUACGGUAUUGGAGAAGGCUCUUGGGAGUCCCUUGGACUGCAAGAAGAUCCAACCAGUCCAUCCUA